rnacentral:tRNA from 1 species
GGGGAUAAAGCUCAUUGGUAGAGCGCCCGAUUGAGAUCGAGGGGCCCACAGUUCAAGCCCGGAUAUCCCCU